GGGGGAAGAGGUGGGAGGGGCGGGGCAGCAGUCAUUCACUCACUGAGCUAGGGACAAGGCACUUUGAUUAGGCCCCCAAGAUAAUCGCCGCACACCUGGAGUGGCACCCCAGAGGCCCCCACCACGCAGCCGCCCCUUUGUCUUCCUGGGGAGUCUCUGGCUCCAAAGAGUGAGGUUGCUGCUGAUAGAUGGGGCUGAAGCCAGGUGCUGAAACCUGAGAGUGGAGAAGUGGUAGCGAGGGCUUUGGGGAAGGAGGGCUCCUAGAGCUGAGGGAAGGCUCAGGUCCCCUGCUUCCCAGGUCACAGUGAACAGGGUGCCUGGAACAGAGGACCUAGGUGGGGAGAGGAGGGAGAACAGCUAAGAUGUGCACUGUGUGACUGUGUGUGCAGCUUAUGCACAGGUGUGUACACAUGGCCAAGGUGGGGACAUGGACAAAUGGAAAGUGGGAUGGCUCCCCUCAGUCACCCCAGCCAUCACCUGCUGCCCUGGCCACAGUUCCCACCUCUCUCCUCUGGAUAAGGGAGCAGCCUGGCCCUCCAGUGUCACCAACUGAUCCUGUAACCCAGGGGUCCAACAUAGCUCCAAGGAGUGACUCCAACCCAUCACCCCAGCCGAUCCUGCAAGCCUUGUCGGAAACCAGCAGCCCCCAGUCUCCACAGGAGGAUGAUGCUUCUCCAACAGGCUCAGGUCAGGCCAGCCCUGCCUAGCUCCCUUGCUGCUCCCUGCCCUCUUCUACCAGAUCCAAUAGGGUCCCCUUAAAGUUCAUGUCUCCCCUGGAACAUGUGAACAUUAACUCAUGGGGAAAUAGGGGCUUUGUAGAUAUAAUCCAGCUAAGAGGAAGGGUGUUGUAAUCCAGUGACUAAUGUCCUCGUAGUAAAGGAGAGAUUUGGACAGAGCCCAGAGACACAGGGGGAAUGCCAUGUGAUGAUGGGGGCAGGGUUAAGUGACUCAUCUGCAAGCCAAGGAACUCUCUGGAUGACAGCCACCACCAGAAGCUGGAGGAGGCAAGGAAGGAGGCUCCGUUGGAGUCUUUGGAGAGAACAAGACCUUCCUGACACCUUGGUUUUGGACUUCUGGCCUCUAGAACUGUGGGGAAUAAGCUCUUGUUGUUUUAAGUCACUUGUUGGUAAUAGUUUGUUGUGGCAGUCCUAGGAAAGUAAAUACCUCUUCACCACACAGCUGGGAUCACGUGUGUACCUCUGCCCGAUGUGACCAUUCCUGCCCUCAAGUGGGAUGGGUAUAAGCCACCGACCUCUCACUCUAGAACUUGAUCUGCAGCCCCUUGUCUGCUAUUUCUGUCACCUUGAACUUCACUUCUGACCACCUCCAAUGUUGCCAACUGGUCCUCUCACCGUGGGGCCCAGAACUAGCGGGGAUCCCCCAGCUAUCCCAGACAGCUCCCUCUAUGUCCCUGGCUGCUCCCUGGCCAGCUCCUUUUCCGCUGUCCUCUCCUUGUCUGGCUGAG
rnacentral:lncRNA from 13 species